UUUUUUUUUUUUUUUUUUUUUUUUUGGUUUCUGCAUGCUUUGGACUAUUCCUGGUGCAAUCCUGGGGUCGAUUGAAGAUGCCCGAGUUGACUUAAAAAUUCAAAGAAAUAAAAAAUGAGUUUCUGGACUUUUUGUUGCAAGAAAUGACUGAUUUCUUUUAAUCUAAGCUGAAAUAGAGAAAAAUGCU
rnacentral:ribozyme from 1 species